AUGUCUCAUUAUCAGGAGCACAAUGUUGAGGACAUGGAGGAUGAUUACGACAUGGAUGAUCCGGUAGAUGACAUGGAUGGUGAAGAUUACCUAGGGCCGGAGGCUAGGGACGACUCUGAUGAGGAGGAUGAUGAGGAUGCCGAAGCGAAUAAGGCAUCCGACACAUCAUCUGAAGAAGCAAGACGUGGAAAAGACAUUCAAGGAAUACCAUGGGAUCGCUUGGAACUUACCAGAGAAGGAUACAGGGAGACAAGAUUAUUACAGUACAAAAACUACGAGAACAUACCUAAUUCUGCAGAAACAGCAAUGAAGGCAUGCAAAUCUACUGAGAAAGACGGAACAUAUUAUGAGUUCAGGCGAAAUACUAGAUCAGUAAAAUCUACUAUUCUACACUUUCAGCUGAGAAAUUUAGUAUGGGCUACAUCUAAGCAUGAUGCCUACCUAAUAUCACAUUACUCGGUGCUACACUGGUCAGCAUUGAGUGGUGUGGACACAGAAAUUAUGAAUGUCGAAGGGCAUAUUGCACCAAGUGAGAAACAUCCAGGAAGUUUAUUAGAAGGGUUUUCUCAGACUCAAGUUAGUACGCUGGCAGUCAAGGAUAAUUUGCUAGUAGCUGGUGGUUUCCAGGGAGAGCUAAUAUGCAAGAACCUGGACCAAGAAGGAAUAAGCUUUUGCUGCAGGACAACAUAUGAUGAUAAUGCAAUCACCAAUGCAGUGGAGAUAUUCAACACCUCUAGUGGUGCUGUUCACUUCAUUGCAUCUAUUAACGACUCCGGUGUACGAGAAUAUGAUAUGGAAAGAUACCAGUUAUGUAAGCAUUUCCGCUUUGGUUGGCCAGUGAAUCACACGUCUUUGAGCCCUGAUGGGAAGCUUGUUCUCGUUGUCGGGGAUGAUCCAGAUGCUUUGCUUAUUGAUGCUAAUUCAGGAAAGACUGUUCAUUCUAUGAAAGGUCACUUGGAUUUCUCAUUUGCAUCGGCUUGGAGCCCUGAUGGUCGGACAUUUGCCACUGGCAAUCAAGACAGGACAUGCCGGGUCUGGGAUGCCAGAAAUCUCUCGCAGUCUCUCCAUGUCUUGAGGGGUAACCUUGGUGCUAUAAGAUCUAUUCGCUACACAUCAGAUGGUCAGUUCCUGUCGAUGGCGGAGCCAGCAGACUUUGUCCACAUCUUUGAUGUCAAAAGUGAUUAUAACAAGAGGCAAGAGCUGGAUUUCUUUGGUGAGAUAUCUGGCAUGUCUUUCAGCCCUGACACGGACACACUCUUCGUCGGUGUUUGGGACAGGACCUAUGGCAGCCUACUUCAGUAUGGCCGCCUCUAUAACUACUCAUACCUUGACUCGCUGUUCUAA
rnacentral:rRNA from 1 species